rnacentral:rRNA from 1 species
AGUGAACGCUGGCGGUAGGCCUAACACAUGCAAGUCGAACGGCAGCACAGGAGAGCUUGCUCUCUGGGUGGCGAGUGGCGGACGGGUGAGGAAUACAUCGGAAUCUACUCUGUCGUGGGGGAUAACGUAGGGAAACUUACGCUAAUACCGCAUACGACCUACGGGUGAAAGCAGGGGACCUUCGGGCCUUGCGCGAUUGAAUGAGCCGAUGUCGGAUUAGCUAAUUGGCGGGGUAAAGGCCCACCAAGGCGACGAUCCGUAGCUGGUCUGAGAGGAUGAUCAGCCACACUGGAACUGAGACACGGGCCAGACUCCUACGGGAGGCAGCAGUGGGGAAUAUUGGACAAUGGGCGCAAGCCUGAUUCAGCCAUACCGCGUGGGUGAAGAAGGCCUUCGGGUUGUAAAGCCCUUUUGUUGGGAAAGAAAUCCAGCUGGCUAAUACCCGGUUGGGAUGACGGUACCCAAAGAAUAAGCACCGGCUAACUUCGUGCCAGCAGCCGCCGUAA